GAAAAUCCUGUGGAAAUGGUUAUUGUGACGAUUGUGGAACCUGGAUUUGGUGGACAGAAGUUCAUGUCAGAAAUGAUAGAUAAGAUUUCUGCUACUUUGAAGACAUCAAUUGGUUAAUUCACUCUCAAUCAAGGUGACUCUCUUCACAAGAGGAAAAGCUCCCAUCACCCAACAAUUGCCUGGUGAAUCAGAGAAGGAUUGUGCUGAUUUUUCUUCCAAGAUCUUGCACUUGAAAGGAGACAUGACGAACAUUGAAUUUGUGAAAGCCAGUCUCUCAGCCGAAGGCUUUGAUGUUGUUUAUGAUAUUAAUGGUAUGCAUUGCAAUAACUUUUUGCUCCUUAUACAAUCCACACAAUGUGUCCUAUCUAUGUGUUUAUUUUAGACUUGUUAAUUAUGUUCUAGUUUUUGUUAUAAAAUUUGGAGUGUUUAUAUUGUUUCAAUUGUUCUAGUUAAUUACUUUGAUAGCCUUCUUAAUAUCAUAUAUGGAGUUUGUGGUGUUACGUUAAUUGGGUAUUGUCAUUCAUGUCUUGUUCAUCAUCUAUGGCCAGCAUUUUACCUUUUAAUCUUGGAAAAGUAAAUUACUAAAGUUAAAAUUUGUGUGUGAUAAUUCUUUCAAGAUAUGGCUUGCGACACAUUCUUGAAAACUGUUCAAAAGUACAAGCGUAAAUUUGUUAUUGUACAGGUAGCAUUAUUUUAAUCUUGUUGGUCAAAUGUCAAUUUUCUAUAUUGGAUAUAACGUUGAAUGUGUCAUUCUUUUCUUCUAUUGUUUCCAGAUUGGAGAAAGCGAACCAUUUGUAUAUGAGCUUCUAACAAGCCUUCCUACAAUUAUAGCUGAUCUUGAGCCCCAUCAGAUUCAUUCAUUUUAUGAAUCAGUAAUUUUGGUGGAGUUUUCUAUGAACUAUAACAUUGUUGGAGCAUUCUCAACAUGUAGAAUGCUGAUUUCAGUAAAGUAUUUUUAGAUCUAUAAGGUUACCCAGUUUUAAUAAUACUUUGAUAGGUUGGAAUUUGUAGAAGUUUGAAUUGCUUUCUUCUUGCAGGAACUCAUAGACAUCAAAGGUGAUGGAAUGGCUAACAUGGUAUUUCGUUGUAUUCAGGAAAUGGACAUUAAUAAUCGGAUGAUGCUCUACCAGCACAUAGUUUUAAGUGGAGGGAGUACUAUGUAUCUUGGAUUGCCUAGUCGCCCUUGUAAACCCACAUGAAGAAUAUCGAAAAAGAGGUUUGGCGAUACCUGUGUCAAUUAUGGGAUGAUAAGACGUACCAGGAUUUUCAUCCUUUCUCUAUGACUAUAGACGGUGAUAAGCUUUUGUGGUCGUGGAACAAUUAAUUGUUUAGGGCAUGUUGCUCUUGUAACUGAACUUGUGAAGAGGUGGUGCGAGAGAAAGACAAAGUUGAAGUCGUCAUAGAGUUCUAGCUCAUACAACAUUGAACUAUUUUGAUCUUGUUUUGGGAUUUAACUCAUAUAAUGAACUAUGUUGAAGUGAAUUUGGAUACUUAGAGUUUUGAUUUUUGUAAUUUGCUUUUUGUAUAUACAAGAAUAGAUUUGAUCUUGUGUACAAGAUUUGAUCUUGUUUUUUUUCUAUAUACAGAGAUAGAUUUGGG